CAGCGGCAGUAAGGAA
rnacentral:misc_RNA from 1 species